rnacentral:rRNA from 1 species
CAUGCAAGUCGAGCGCACUCUUUUAGAGUGAGCGGCAAACGGGUGAGUAACGCGUGGGAAUCUACCCCUCUCUACGGAAUAACACAGAGAAAUUUGUGCUAAUACCGUAUACGUCCUAUUGGAGAAAGAUUUAUCGGAGAUGGAUGAGCCCGCGUUGGAUUAGCUAGUUGGUGAGGUAACGGCUCACCAAGGCGACGAUCCAUAGCUGGUCUGAGAGGAUGAUCAGCCACACUGGGACUGAGACACGGCCCAGACUCCUACGGGAGGCAGCAGUGGGGAAUAUUGGACAAUGGGGGCAACCCUGAUCCAGCCAUGCCGCGUGAGUGAUGAA